rnacentral:misc_RNA from 1 species
UCCCGAUUGGCUCGGGCAGUCUCGCCUGAAAAAUACAACAGACGACAAGGGUUGCGCUCGUUGCGGGACUUAACCCAACAUCUCACGACACGAGCUGACGACGGCCAUGCAGCAUCUGUCACCUGGCUCCCGAAGGCACUCCCACCUUUCGGCGGGAUUCCAGGGAUGUCAAACCUCGGUAAGGUUCUACGCGUAGCAUCAUAUUAAACCACAUCCUCCACUGCUUGUGCGGAUCCCCGUCAAUUCCUUUGAGUUUUAGUCUUGCGACCGUACUCCCCAGGCGGCACACUUAACGCGUUAGCUUUCCCACACAAAGGGUCGAUACUUCAUAUGGGUAGUGUGCAUCGUUUACGGCGUGGACUAC